GCUGGGGCCUCGGGCGGGGUGCACCGCUGUCCUUUCGCCGCCGUCCGGGCGGCACUGCACGUGCAGCGCGCGGUCCCCCACCCAGCGCAGCCCGCAACACCCCUGGUCUGCCGCAGGAGACCCUGCCGAUGCCACUCAGGGUCAAGACUCUGGCGCGGUGGAAACUGCAGAGCAAAAGGAAACACAGACAAAAACAGUGAGAAGGAGAGAGAGCAUGUGGGGCUUUGCCAGAGAGGAACUUGGAUGGCAAUCACCUAAGAACUCCAAACUCAGUGCCAGGGCAGACUGGUGUCUAUUUUGGGAUGGCUCAAGUACUCAAAAGGCAGCACUAAAAUAAGGCUAUGUCUCUUCCUGAGAAUACUCUGGACUUCAUUCUCUGAUUAAAGAUCACAACUGCUUCUUCGUUGAGGAAAUCAUGUAUUUCAAAGCCACCAAUGAACAAGAAUGACAAUCCAUGAAUUACACAGUAAACAAAUACUAUAUGUAUGAGACCGAUUCACUGUCACAAACCUGGAGAAGAAAACCCUUUUGAGGUUUAAAGCUGAGAGGGAGAUAAAAACUUGGUUGUACUACUUCUGGGAAAUGCUGAAGUUAUCCACGUGAUUUUCCAGUCACUGAUUAUUUUAGCAAAGUAACACAAACAGAGGAGGAGCUCUGGACUCUAGCUUCUCAUUUCUAAAAGAACAGAUGUAAUGGGAUGUAUUGGUCCAGCACUGAUAACAGGUUAUCCUACAAUCAAGUAUACUCUUUCCAGAAAGCUGAGUUAGGUAUGCAACUGCCUUUCUAAGCCAUGACUACAUUGCUAAAUGAAUCAUUGAUUUGGAAAAUCUGAAGUGACCUUCAGCUUGUUCUCCAGCUCUUCCUCAACAGAAAAGAGAGGCAAAAUCAGCAAAAUAUUGGAAAGAGCUAACUCACUGGUGACCCAGCACUUUGGGAGGAUGAGGAGGGUGGAUCACAAGGUCAGGAGUUCGAGACCAGCCUGGCCAACAUGAUGAAACCCCGUCUCUACUAAAAAUACAAAAAUUAGCCAGGCGUGGUGGCAUGCACCUGUAUUCCCAGCUACUUGGGACACUGAGGCAGGAGACUUGCUUGAACCCGGGAGGCAGAGGUUGCAGUGAGCCAAGAUCGUGCCACUGCACUCCAGCCUGGGCGACAGAGUGAGACUCCAUCUCAAAAAUAAGUAAAUGAAUAAAUAAAAAUAAAAUAGAUUGAGCCUCCACAUUUUGCAUGCAGCUUUCUUGGUGCUUGUCCUUCUCCUGUGCUUACUCAAAGAUGGGACAUUGUGCACAAUGAGAAGAGUAUUGGGACCAGUAAGGAAGAAUGAGUCAGAUAUUGUGGGACCUCUUUUUUUGUUGUUUUUUUUUGCUCCCAGAAAUCUUUGAGAUUUUAACCUGAAUGGAAAAGACAAUAUGAGGGUGAUGAAAGACUCUAGAUGGUCCGUCUUGGUCUUUGAAAGAUGCUGGAAUAUAUGCCUGCUUGGCCAAUUAGUCCCCAAUAACUCUUCAGUGCCAUAGUACUGUGUGUAGAGAAAACCUCAAUGAAAAGAAAAUGGACAAUCAAGCUGGAUAAAAUACAUCCCUUAAAUGAGAACUACGCUAUGUGAAAAAAAAAUAGAAGAACAAGUCCUCAGCAAGUCAAUGAUCAUAAGAAAAACAGUUAUAUUGACUAGUUAUUUUGUGUGUUUGAUGUACAAUAUGGAGAAAUAUUAGUAGCCAAAUGAAUGUGACACAUUGACACAGAUGCAUUGUAAAUAUUAUGCUAUUGAGACCAUAGAUUCAGUUACAUUCCUCUGAUGAAUGUGGAUGCUUUCAUUUCCUGUUUUAGAAGGCAACUAACCUGAUUAAUAUCAAACUGCAAGCUCUGCCUUGUUUGCAGUAGGUGACUGCUCAAAUUGUAGUUAUUUUAGCCUCAGCUCUGAGAUAAUUUGUUUCUGUCCUGUUUUUCCCCCAACAAGUAUGGUUCAAGGUUCACAUACAGACUUGGCCAGAGUUCAUAUGCAGACUUUUAACUGCCUUCUUCCCAGGAUUUCCUCUCCAUUUUUGGGGUGGGUGGGCAGUGGGGUGCUGUGGUUGCACUGGGUCCUGUCAUCUGGUUCUUACCAACACAAAAUAUGAAGGUUUUUAAAGGAGUUUCAGUUAUUCUAAUUAUCCUGUACCUUAAGUUGUCUUUCUAAUACCUAGUGCUGGUUUCUUCUAAAUGUCAAAUCUCUUACAAAAACUGUUCUGUCUCAGGAAUUGUGUGUGUGUGAUUGUGCAUAUUCAGACUUUAUAGUUGUUACCUGCAUGACUGUCAGUCUAGUAGGAAUUCAUUCCAGCCUACUAGAAGAAAAAGUUUAUAUAUCAAUUUUGCAGAAAAAUAAUCCAAAUUGUAUAGGAUAUUACUCAAAAAGAAAACUUCGGAAAAGUUGUUUAAAUUUAUAAUCUUUUAGUUUUAAGCAAAUAUUUGUUAAACAUGCUUACUUCUCAGUUAGUGGAACAGAAGAAAAAAAAUGUAAUGUCAUCCCUGAACUCAGACACACAACACUUAAGAAAUUACAUUCAAAACAUAGGUGCUUUAACUUGAUAAGUACUUUAAAUGCAAUGCUAUAUCCAUUGUUUUCAAUGAAC
ensembl:lncRNA LINC01902 long intergenic non-protein coding RNA 1902